GAUGAACGCUGGUGGCGUGCCUAAUACAUGCAAGUCGAGCGAACAGACGAGGAGCUUGCUCCUCUGACGUUAGCGGCGGACGGGUGAGUAACACGUGGAUAACCUACCUAUAAGACUGGGAUAACUUCGGGAAACCGGAGCUAAUACCGGAUAAUAUAUUGAACCGCAUGGUUCAAUAGUGAAAGACGGUUUUGCUGUCACUUAUAGAUGGAUCCGCGCCGCAUUAGCUAGUUGGUAAGGUAACGGCUUACCAAGGCAACGAUGCGUAGCCGACCUGAGAGGGGGAUCGGCCACCUGGGAACUGGAACGGGGUCAAGGCUCCUACGGGAGGGAGCAGUAGGGAAUCGUCCGCAAUGGGCGAAAGCCUGACGGAGCAACGCCGCGUGAAUGAUGAAGGUCUUCGGAUCGUAAAACUCUGUUAUUAGGGAAGAACAAAUGUGUAAGUAACUAUGCACGUCUUGACGGUACCUAAUCAGAAAGCCACGGCUAACUACGUG
rnacentral:rRNA from 1 species